rnacentral:rRNA from 1 species
AGCAGCCGCGGUAAUUCCAGCUCCAAUAGCGUAUAUUAAAGUUGUUGCAGUUAAAAAGCUCGUAGUUGAAUUUCGGGAUCAGUACGUUGGUCGUGCCUUCGGUACGUACUGGCGUUACUGGUUCCUACCUUCUGAGGAACCGUCAUGUCAUUAAUUUGGUGUGGUGGGAAGUCAGGACUGUUACUUUGAAAAAAUUAGAGUGUUUAAAGCAGGCUAACGCUUGAAUACAUUAGCAUGGAAUAAUAAAAUAGGACGGUGGUCCUGUUUUGUUGGUUUCUGAAUCACCGUAAUGAUUAAUAGGGAUAGUUGGGGGCAUUAGUAUUCAAUUGUCAGAGGUGAAAUUCUUGGAUUUAU